rnacentral:rRNA from 1 species
ACAGAUAAGGAGCUUGCUCCUUUGACGUUAGCGGCGGACGGGUGAGUAACACGUGGGUAACCUACCUAUAAGACUGGGAUAACUUCGGGAAACCGGAGCUAAUACCGGAUAACAUUUGGAACCGCAUGGUUCUAAAGUGAAAGAUGGUUUUGCUAUCACUUAUAGAUGGACCCGCGCCGUAUUAGCUAGUUGGUAAGGUAACGGCUUACCAAGGCGACGAUACGUAGCCGACCUGAGAGGGUGAUCGGCCACACUGGAACUGAGACACGGUCCAGACUCCUACGGGAGGCAGCAGUAGGGAAUCUUCCGCAAUGGGCGAAAGCCUGACGGAGCAACGCCGCGUGAGUGAUGAAGGGUUUCGGCUCGUAAAACUCUGUUAUUAGGGAAGAACAAACGUGUAAGUAACUGUGCACGUCUUGACGGUACCUAAUCAGAAAGCCACGGCUAACUACGUGCCAGCAGCCGCGGUAAUACGUAGGUGGCAAGCGUUAUCCGGAAUUAUUGGGCGUAAAGCGCGCGUAGGCGGUUUCUUAAGUCUGAUGUGAAAGCCCACGGCUCAACCGUGGAGGGUCAUUGGAAACUGGGAAACUUGAGUGCAGAAGAGGAAAGUGGAAUUCCAUGUGUAGCGGUGAAAUGCGCAGAGAUAUGGAGGAACACCAGUGGCGAAGGCGACUUUCUGGUCUGUAACUGACGCUGAUGUGCGAAAGCGUGGGGAUCAAACAGGAUUAGAUACCCUGGUAGUCCACGCCGUAAACGAUGAGUGCUAAGUGUUAGGGGGUUUCCGCCCCUUAGUGCUGCAGCUAACGCAUUAAGCACUCCGCCUGGGGAGUACGACCGCAAGGUUGAAACUCAAAGGAAUUGACGGGGACCCGCACAAGCGGUGGAGCAUGUGGUUUAAUUCGAAGCAACGCGAAGAACCUUACCAAAUCUUGACAUCCUUUGAAAACUCUAGAGAUAGAGCCUUCCCCUUCGGGGGACAAAGUGACAGGUGGUGCAUGGUUGUCGUCAGCUCGUGUCGUGAGAUGUUGGGUUAAGUCCCGCAACGAGCGCAACCCUUAAGCUUAGUUGCCAUCAUUAAGUUGGGCACUCUAGGUUGACUGCCGGUGACAAACCGGAGGAAGGUGGGGAUGACGUCAAAUCAUCAUGCCCCUUAUGAUUUGGGCUACACACGUGCUACAAUGGACAAUACAAAGGGCAGCUAAACCGCGAGGUCAUGCAAAUCCCAUAAAGUUGUUCUCAGUUCGGAUUGUAGUCUGCAACUCGACUACAUGAAGCUGGAAUCGCUAGUAAUCGUAGAUCAGCAUGCUACGGUGAAUACGUUCCCGGGUCUUGUACACACCGCCCGUCACACCACGAGAGUUUGUAACACCCGAAGCCGGUGGAGUAACCAUUUA